GAUGAACGCUGGCGGCGUGCCUAAUACAUGCAAGUCGAGCGAACGGACGAGAAGCUUGCUUCUCUGAUGUUAGCGGCGGACGGGUGAGUAACACGUGGAUAACCUACCUAUAAGACUGGGAUAACUUCGGGAAACCGGAGCUAAUACCGGAUGAUAUUUUGAACCGCAUGGUUCAAAAGUGAAAGACGGUCUUGCUGUCACUUAUAGAUGGAUCCGCGCUGCAUUAGCUAGUUGGUAAGGUAACGGCUUACCAAGGCAACGAUGCAUAGCCGACCUGAGAGGGUGAUCGGCCACACUGGAACUGAGACACGGUCCAGAAUCCUACGGGAGGCAGCAGUAGGGAAUCUUCCGCAAUGGGCGAAAGCCUGACGGAGCAACGACGCGUGAGUGAUGAAGGUCUUCGGAUCGUAAAACUCUGUUAUUAGGGAAGAACAUAUGUGUAAGUAACUGUGCACAUCUUGACGGUACCUAAUCAGAAAGCCACGGCUAACUACGUG
rnacentral:rRNA from 1 species